GAUCCUGCCAGUAGUCAUAUGCUUGUCUCAAAGAUUAAGCCAUGCAUGUCUCAGUACAAACCAAAAUAAGGUGAAACCGCGAAAGGCUCAUUAUAUCAGUUAUGGUUCAUUAGAUCGUACCCACAUUUACUUGGAUAACUGUGGUAAUUCUAGAGCUAAUACAUGCAUACAGAACUCCGACCGGAGACGGAAGGAGCGCUUUUAUUAGAUCAAAACCAACGCGGGGAGGUAGGGUCCGGCGGCGUCUCGCGCGUCGUCGCGGCCUCGCCUCCUCAAACAUAGCUCGCACGACGAAUCUGAAUAACUUUAUGCCGAUCGCACGGCCACGCGCCGGCGACGCAUCUUUCAAAUGUCUGCCUUAUCAACUUUCGAUGGUAGGUUAUGCGCCUACCAUGGUUGUAACGGGUAACGGGGAAUCAGGGUUCGAUUCCGGAGAGGGAGCCUGAGAAACGGCUACCACAUCCAAGGAAGGCAGCAGGCGCGCAAAUUACCCACUCCCGGCACGGGGAGGUAGUGACGAAAAAUAACGAUACGGGACUCAUCCGAGGCCCCGUGAUCGGAAUGAGCACACUUUAAAUCCUUUAACGAGGAUCAAUUGGAGGGCAAGUCUGGUGCCAGCAGCCGCGGUAAUUCCAGCUCCAAUAGCGUAUAUUAAAGUUGCUGCGGUUAAAAAGCUCGUAGUCGAAAUUGUGUCCUCGGCCGCCGGUUCGUCGCUCGCGACGCCAACUGGCGCGCACGCUGGACGUCCAGCCGGUACUACGAACUCGCCUACGGGGUGCUCUUAACCGAGUGUCCAGGCGGGGGCCGGCAACGUUACUUUGAACAAAUUAAAGUGCUUAAAGCAGGCUAAAUUGCGCUCGCAUACACGCGCAUGGAAUAAUCGAAUAGGACCUCCGUUCUAUUUUGUUGGGUUUUUGUGGAACGACAGACGGAGGUAAUGAUCAAUGGGUGCGGAUGGGGGCAUUCGUAUUGCGACGUUAGAGGUGAAAUUCUUGGAUCGUCGCAAGACGGACUUAAGCGAAAGCAUUUGCCAAAAACGCUUUCAUCGAUCAAGAACGAAAGUUAGAGGUUCGAAGGCGAUCAGAUACCGCCCUAGUUCUAACCAUAAACUAUGCCAGCUAGCGAUCCGCCGACGUUACUUCUAUGACUCGGCGGGCAGCUUCCGGGAAACCAAAGCUUUCGGGUUCCGGGGGAAGUAUGGUUGCAAAGCUGAAACUUAAAGGAAUUGACGGAAGGGCACCACCAGGAGUGGAGCCUGCGGCUUAAUUUGACUCAACACGGGAAACCUCACCAGGCCCGGACACCGGAAGGAUUGACAGAUUGAGAGCUCUUUCUUGAUUCGGUGGGUGGUGGUGCAUGGCCGUUYUUAGUUGGUGGAGCGAUUUGUCUGGUUAAUUCCGAUAACGAACGAGACUCUAGCCYGCUAACUAGGCGUAUUUUCGACAUCUCAAAGGCCCGCCGGCCCGGCGCUCGCGCCGCGGACGCGCGCGGUUUUUACUGU
rnacentral:rRNA from 1 species